rnacentral:lncRNA from 1 species
CUGAGUUGUGAGGUGUCAAGGUUGAGGAUGGGGUCUUUAUUUUUUGGUGUCAACAUUGGCCAUAACGCUUGGCAUGUAGUAGACACCCAGGCCCUGUUUGCAGGACAGACAGAUGAACGGAUGAAGACAGACAGGUGGCUAGAUGAAGGGACAGUACUUGGCAUUUCUGUUAGGACGUUUCCCAUCUUCUCUUUGACUGACAGGCAGUGGUGCAGGUGCUGGAGACACGCAUGUCGGUGUUUUGGGCUUGCUCCAUCCUUCAGGCAGGCAUGACCUCGAAUAUCCACGUGUGAAGGGGUUGUCAUGGAAACAGGAGCUCACCCUCUGGACCCCUGAGACAACAUGGCCCCAGGCAUCUGAGCGACCAGCUGGGCGGCUGAGGACAAGGAGAGGCAGAAACUGGGCAGGGACGAUGGUACCCACCGUCCCACCAGGACGCCUCCUUUCUGGGUCCCUGCGAGAGAUGCUGGCACGGAGGGAAGCGAGGAAGAGGCUGGGGCUCAGCCCUCAGGAGGCUCCUGGUCCAGAAGGAGCCACUGGAUGGAGUGUGUGCCAGGGCAAAGAACACAUCUGGAGAGACAGCUGUGCAGCUCAGCAUCAAUCAACAGCUUCGGUACAAGACUGCACAGAUUUGUGUACAGCUGAUAAGGUUCGUGUGGAGAAAACACCUACAAAUGCAGGUUGUGGCUUUCUGAGGGGUUGCUAUAACGUCAGAUUAUAAAGAUGCUGACGUUGAGUGUUUCUAAAUAGUUUAACGGUUCCUUUCAUUGCUUGAGCUGAGUAUGGUAGCACAGCAAACUCUUGGAAAUUAGCAUCCACAAUAAAAUUGGGGAGCUGAGGGUGCUGUGUUUCGGUG